AGCAGCCGCGGUAAUUCCAGCUCCAAUAGCGUAUAUUAAAGUUGUUGCAGUUAAAAAGCUCGUAGUUGAAUUUUAGGCCUGGCCGGGCGGUCCGUCUCUGGCGAGUACUGUCCUGUGUCGGGUCUUCCUUCUGGUGAACCAGUAUGUCCUUUAUUGGGUGUGUCGGGGAGCCAGGACCAUUACCUUGAAAAAAUUAGAGUGUUUAAAGCGGGCAUUUGCUUGAAUAGAUUAGCAUGGAAUAAUAGAAUAGGACGUUGUGGUUCUAUUUUGUUGGUUUCUAGGACCACCGUAAUGAUUAAUAGGGAUAGUUGGGGGCAUUAGUAUUCAAUUGUCAGAGGUGAAAUUCUUGGAUUUAUUGAAGACUAACUACUGCGAAAGCAUUUGCCAAGGAUGUUUUCAUUAAUCAAGAACGAAAGUUAGGGGAUCGAAGACGAUCAGAUACCGUCGUAGUCUUAACCAUAAACUAUGCCGACUAGGGAUCGGAUGAUGUUAAUUUUUUAAUUGACUCAUUCGGCGCCUU
rnacentral:rRNA from 1 species